CAUUAUUUUUAUCAAUUUAAGAUGUUUAGCGACAAGCUAAGUGAAAACAAUUAGACAUGUUUUUUUACUAAAUUAUAUUGUCCGGUAAACACAAACAAGUUGUUGUGUAAACAACAUAUGUCUAGGUAACCUGGUCAAUCAGGGUUCUUUGUCCUGUCCAGCAAAGACCUUUCCUUGCCCCUUUUUACCCCAAAAGAUCAGGGUAACCAAGAUAGCUUGAUUGUUAAACGAAUCUGAUUGUACGAACCUGAAACAGUAACGCAAA
rnacentral:lncRNA from 1 species